UACGGGAGGCAGCAGUGGGGAAUAUUGCACAAUGGGCGCAAGCCUGAUGCAGCCAUGCUGCGUGUAUGAAGAAGGCCUUCGGGUUGUAAAGUACUUUCAGUCGUGAGGAAGGUGUUAAGGUUAAUAACCUUAGCAAUUGACGUUAGCGACAGAAGAAGCACCGGCUAACUCCGUACCAGCAGCCGCGGUAAUACGGAGGGUGCGAGCGUUAAUCGGAAUUACUGGGCGUAAAGGGCACGCAGGCGGUUAAUUAAGUUGGAUGUGAAAUCCCCGGGCUUAACCUGGGAAUGGCAUUCAAGCUGGUUAGCUAGAGUCUUGUAGAGGGGGUAGAAUUCCAUGUGUAGCGGUGAAAUGCGUAGAGAUGUGGAGGAAUACCGGUGGCGAAGGCGGCCCCUGGGACAAAGGACUGACGCUCAUGUGCGAAAGCGUGGGGAGCAAAC
rnacentral:rRNA from 1 species